rnacentral:misc_RNA from 1 species
GCUCUUUAACAAUUUGGAAAGCUGACAAAACAACAAUUUAUUGUUGUUUGUAAAGUUCUCAAUGUUUGUCUUUAUGACAAACACCAAUAUAAACACAUUCAAGUGUUCUUGGCUUUUGUCUUACUUUUUUAAAGUAAGGGAGAUGAAAAAUUGAGUCCGGCAAAAUCGAGUCUGCAUCAUGUUUAAAUAAUUGCAGACAACUUUGGUUGUUUAAACAACAUCCUCAAGAUUCGCUCCGCGAAACUCUUUGGGGUUGUAU